rnacentral:rRNA from 1 species
ACGGGUGCGUAACGCGUAUGCAAUCUACCUUUCACAAAGGGAUAGCCCAGAGAAAUUUGGAUUAAUACCUUAUAGUAAUAUGACUUGGCAUCAAGAUGUAUUUAAAGAUUUAUCGGUGAAAGAUGAGCAUGCGUCCCAUUAGCUAGUUGGUAAGGUAACGGCUUACCAAGGCAACGAUGGGUAGGGGUCCUGAGAGGGAGAUCCCCCACACUGGUACUGAGACACGGACCAGACUCCUACGGGAGGCAGCAGUGAGGAAUAUUGGACAAUGGGCGCAAGCCUGAUCCAGCCAUGCCGCGUGCAGGAUGACGGUCCUAUGGAUUGUAAACUGCUUUUAUACAGGAAGAAACACUACUUCGUGAAGUAGCUUGACGGUACUGUAAGAAUAAGGAUCGGCUAACUCCGUGCCAGCAGCCGCGGUAAUACGGAGGAUCCAAGCGUUAUCCGGAAUCAUUGGGUUUAAAGGGUCCGUAGGCGGUCAGAUAAGUCAGUGGUGAAAGCCCAUCGCUCAACGGUGGAACGGCCAUUGAUACUGUCUGACUUGAAUUAUUAGGAAGUAACUAGAAUAUGUAGUGUAGCGGUGAAAUGCUUAGAGAUUACAUGGAAAUACCAAUUGCGAAGGCAGGUUACUACUAAUUGAUUGACGCUGAUGGACGAAAGCGUGGGUAGCGAACAGGAUUAGAUACCCUGGGUAGUCCACGCCGUAAACGAUG